GAUGAAGAACGUAGCGAAAUGCGAUAAGUAAUGUGAAUUGCAGAAUUCAGUGAAUCAUCGAAUCUUUGAACGCACAUUGCGCCCGCCAGUAUUCUGGCGGGCAUGCCUGUUCGAGCGUCAUUACAACCCUCAAGCCCCCGGGCUUGGUGUUGGGGAUCGGCGAGCCUCCGCGCCCGCCGUCCCCUAAAUCUAGUGGCGGUCUCGCUGUAGCUUCCUCUGCGUAGUAGCACACCUCGCACUGGGAAACAGCGCGGCCACGCCGUUAAACCCCCAACUUCUGAACGUUUGACCUCGGAUCAGGUAGGAAUACCCGCUGAACUUAAGCAUAUCAAUAAGCGGAGGA
rnacentral:misc_RNA from 1 species